AAACCGUUGAAAGGGAAGCGAAUGGAGUUAGCAAUUCGCCCUGCCAGAUUCAGUUGUUCGUGCUUCGCGACGUGCGCGCUCUCGAUCCGCAUGGACGUGACGUGCACGGGUGCGACGUGCGGACGGCGCACUUCUGGCGGGCGAGCGUCAGCGUCGGUCGCCGACGGGCGAUAAGGUCGCGAGGAAGGUAGACGUGCCUUCGGGCGCGUUGUUAAGACUCGCGUUCGCAUGGCUCGACGGCGACCGUGGCUCCUUCACACGGAGGCGACGCGUGCCUGGCUGGUGACUCGUGCGAUCGGUCCGGCAUGUCGACCGUGGCGGACGGCACGCCUGUGCGCUCAAACUGCUGCCGGUCGCUCGCACGGUGUUCGCACACUACGCGUCGAAGACGCUGACGACCAUACGGCUCCAUCCGACCCGUCUUGAAACACGGACCAAGGAGUCUAACAUGUGCGCAAGUCUCCGGGUGAUCGAAACCCGUGGGCGCAAUGAAAGUAAAGGUCGUCCUAGACGAUUGAGGUGAGAAGCGCGCUUCGUCUCGACGCGCGCCGCAUCAUCGACCGACCUAUUCUGCUCUCAGAAAGGUUUGAGUAAGAGCGUAUCUGUUGGGACCCGAAAGAUGGUGAACUAUGCCUGAAUAGGGUGAAGCCAGCGGAAACACUGGUGGAAGCUCGUAGCGAUUCUGACGUGCAAAUCGAUCGUCGAAUUUGGGUAUAGCGGCGAAAGACUAAUCGAACCAUCUAGUAGCUGGUUCCCUCCGAAGUUUCCCUCAGGAUAGCUGGAGUUCAUACAUGCAGU
rnacentral:rRNA from 1 species